rnacentral:lncRNA from 1 species
UGCAAUUGUUAUGGCAAUUAACGUUCCUAGCUGACUCAGUUAUGUUUUGUUUACUUGCACAUUGUUAUCCACUCUUACUAGCAUCUGUAGGAAAUAUUUGAAUUCUCCAGGAUAAUCGUGUUCCUCUGGAUGCAGCUUCUCGGCCAAGCGAUAUAGGGAUUCUGGGUACAGAGUUUGAUACUCUUCAUGGUUCAAUGUGUACCUUCCUCCGGCAUUUACAACUAUGUUGUCAACGGUUAGUUUGCCUAUUAAGUUUCCAUUUCUCAUCAUGUUGAUACAGUUCCAAAUGGUGUCCUUGCAUUUGUUUUUAAGAGAUCAAAUAACACAGUCAACCAAAAUUGAUUGCAUAAUAUGUAGAUAAAUUAUGAGACUUGUAAUAGGGUAAUAGAAUGAUAUGUUAAUUCUUUAUUAUCUUAUAUAUGUUAUAGGUUCUUGUCCAGAGUGUAGUUUUUUUGUUUAUUGUUUUUGUUUUGUUGAUUUGGUGCAGAUGGUGGUGGUGAUGAUGAGAGAUGUGUGUGGGGUUGGACACAAGAAGGUCUCUUGAGGUUCUGCAGAACUCGUCUCUGAUUUUUGCAGAGGAGAGGAUUCCUAUGAAGGACCCUAUUGGCGAGUUUCAUAAGUACACUGGUGGUUAGAAAAUAUCAGCAAUGAUCAUGACUGGGCUGUGAGUUAUUGUAAUCUUUAUAUUAGUUGCAACAAUCAUUUGUUUAGUGCUAAUUUCAAUUUCACAUUAUUAAGUACUAGAUUGUGUAAUUAAAAAUCUUCCAGUUCUCAUCAACAAAGGCAUGCGUACAUUAUGAUUAUACAUCAAUUAUGUAAGGCGACCGUGAUUGUAAUGCACGUAUCUUCUGUAUGAUAUUGAAAACUACAACUAUUAUCCAACUUUGUCUUCUAUCUUCUGCCUAAGAUUGUAAUGCAAGUCUACUUUUUGUCUACAACAACAGCUAUCAAUGUAAUACGCAAUGAAAUGUGUAAUGCAAUAAGCAGCUAUCAAUGUAAUGCGCAAUGUAAAACAAAUUGUUUUGGAAGAAAGAACAAACAACAGCAACCGAAAGAUUGCAAGAAGAAGUUGGUUUGGUAGUGAUGCACAAUUUACAUCUAUCAAGGUAAUGCACAAUUAAUGUAAGGCCUCGAAAGCUAGUUGCAUACCUGUAUAGUUGGUACACAGCCCUUGGAACCUUGUUCUUCGCAACAAGGUUUUCUGCAAAUGAAUCAUAAUUCUCCGGAUGGGGAAUUAUGUCCUCUCUCAAUGUCAACUGUUUCAUAGAGUAAAUUAAAUCAAUACGUGAAGGUGUUAUAAUGAUAAUGAGAUCAUCUUGGUUAUUAGGAACCUACCAGUUCCCCUGUAAAGACAGGGCAUCCAUACUUGAAUAAAAGGUUCAGACAUGACAUUUUGCAAUAAAUUUUAAUGGGCAGCAUUUCUUGAUUGAUGAUAUGCUCAAUAGUUUUUAACUUCUUUGAAAAAAUAAACAUUACAAUAUUUCAUUCAGUUUUUUUGGAGUUCUGAAGCUUUAAUUAACAGACCAAAAGUGCCUUAUGUCUGAAGUGUGGUUGUUGCUCUCAAAUUGCUACUAGCCUCCUACUGCCCUUCAUCCAAUUGCUACUAGCGUAAUGGAAUUCUCAUCUUCGUUAAAUUCAAGAAAAAAAUUCAGUUUAUUACCCUGAACUUUAGGUCUAAAAUCAGUUUGAUACCUCAUCUUUUUUUUUAAUCAAUUUCAUACCUAAACUUUCAAAAUGACAUCAAUCUCGACCAAAAUGACUAAAAUAGCCCUGAUUAAUCUUUUUACCCUCUCUCUCCCUGCCUCCAAAUCCACCACAUGGCCGGCGCCGGCAUCCACCCCUACCACCAGCAAUGGGCCCCGGCGGCAGCCCCUCCUCCUCCCCCGGCCGUCGCCGCUGCCAUUCUUAACUCUGAGUGGGUAAAAAGAUUAACCAGGGCUAUUUUAGUCAUUUUAGUCGAGAUUGAUGUCAUUUUGAAAGUUUAGGUAUGAAACUGAUUAAAAAAAAGAUGAGGUAUCAAAAUGAUUUUAGACCUAAAGUUCAGGAUAGUAAAAUGAAAUUAUCUCUAAAUUCAAUGCUUUGCUCAAUCAUGAAUAUAUAUACCAAAAGAACUACUCUUGGGAACAUGACUUCUAUCAUUUCUACUAUCUCUCUCCGGUUGAAAAAAUAUACAAUUACAUUGGGUGGCACAUCUGCAGCAGCUUUGGCAACCAUAUAUUUCCUCUGCUCCGGGUUGUCAAUACCACAUGAUUCAUAAUCUUCAAUAACUUUUUCUUCAACCUUGUCUCUUUUUUUUAGGUACUUGUCACGUUCUUCUCUAUUAUGUCUUUAUAUAGUUUCAUUCAAAUGUUGAAAGACAAACCUGUAGUAAUAGAUGAAUCUCUUACCGUUCUUGAGGUACUCCUCUCCAUAUUCAUUGUAGACAACUUUGAAGAAUUUGGCUGCUUCUAUCUUUCGUUUAACGACAUCAUCUAUAUUUGUUUCUAUGCUCAAGGUCGGAAUAUAUUAUUCAAGGUCUGCCCAUAUUCCUUGGUAGGUUUUUGCUCUCUGUGAAAACAUAGGAUAUGCAUGGCACAUGAUCUCCUAUAUUUCUUUGUCUGUUAAUAGUGAAGGAUGAUAGUAUAAUUGCCGAAGUUUGUUCCUGCAUGCAAGUGAGAAUGUGAAAGCCAAGAUAAUAUAUUGAACUAUUAUUGUUUGUUUACGCUUUUUUAUAUUAUGCUAAACACUUUAAAUGAAAGUGAUUAUGAUUAUUGAAAUAUGCAAUUGUUAUGGCAAUUAACGUUCCUAGCUGACUCAGUUAUGUUUUGUUUACUUACACAUCGUUAUCCACUCUUACUAGCAUCUGUAGGAAAUGUUUGAAUUCUCCAGGAUAAUCGUGUUCCUCUGGAUGCAGCUUCUCGACCAAGCGAUAUAGGGAUUCUGGGUACAGAGUUUGAUACUCUUCAUGGUUCAAUGUGUACCUUCCUCCGGCAUUUACAACUAUAUUGUCAACGGUUAGUUUGCCUAUUAAGUUUCCAUUUCUCAUCAUGUUGACGCAGUUCCGAAUGGUGUCCUUGCAUUUUUUUUAGGAGAUCAAAUAACACAAUUAACCAAAAUUGAUUUUUUCCAAGACAAAGUGCAUAAUAUGUAGAUAAAUUAUGAGACUUGUAAUAGGGUAGCAGAAUGAUAUGUUAAUUCUUUAUUAUCUUAUAUAUGUUAUACUUUCUUGUCCAAAGUGUGGUUUUUUGUUUUUUUGUUUUUGUUUUGAGUUUUGUUGAUUUGGUACAGAUUGUGGUGGUGAUGAUGAGAGAUGUGUGUGGGGUUGGACACAAGAAGGUCUCUUGAGGUUCUGCAUAACUCGUCUCUGAUUUUUGCAGAGGAGAGGAUUCCUAUGAAGGACCCUAUUGACGAGUUUCAUAAGUACAUUGGUGGUUAGAAAAUAUCAGCAAUGAUCAUUAUUGGGCUGUGAGUUCUUGUAAUCUUUAUAUUAGUUGCAACAAUCAUUUGUUUAGUGCUAAUUUCAAUUUCGAUUCACAGUAUUAAGUACUAGAUUGUGUAAUUGAAAAUCUUCCAGUUCUCAUCAACAGAGGCAUGCAUACAUUAUGAUUAUAAAUCAGUUAUGUAAGGUGACCGUGAUUGUAAUGCACGUAUCUUUUGUAUGAUAUUGAAAACUACAAC